UUUAUGGAGAGUUUGAUCCUGGCUCAGAGUGAACGCUGGCGGCGUGCCUAAUACAUGCAAGUCGAACGAUGAAGCUUCUAGCUUGCUAGAAGUGGAUUAGUGGCGCACGGGUGAGUAAGGUAUAGUUAAUCUGCCCUACACAAGAGGACAACAGUUGGAAACGACUGCUAAUACUCUAUACUCCUGCUUAACACA
rnacentral:rRNA from 1 species